UACGUAGGGGGCAAGCGUUAUCCGGACUUACUGGGUGUAAAGGGAGCGUAGACGGCUAAUCAAGUCAGAAGUGAAAACCCAGGGCUCAACUUUGGGACUGCUUUUGAAACUGAGUAGCUAGAGUGCAGGAGAGGUAAGCGGAAUUCCUAGUGUAGCGGUGAAAUGCGUAGAUAUUAGGAGGAACACCAGUGGCGAAGGCGGCUUACUGGACUGUAACUGACGUUGAGGCUCGAAAGCGUGGGGAGCAAACAGG
rnacentral:rRNA from 1 species